GACGAACCGUGCGAACGUUGUUCGGAUUCACUGGGCUUAAAGGGCGCGUAGGCGGGUUCGAAAGUCUGUGGUGAAGGCCUCCAGCUUAACUGGAGAAGUGCCAUGGAUACUGCGAACCUGGAGGAGGGUAGGGGCAUCUGGAACGCUGGGUGGAGCGGUGAAAUGCGUUGAUAUCCAGCGGAACUCCGGUGGCGAAGGCGAGGUGCUGGACCCUUUCUGACGCUGAGGCGCGAAAGCCAGGGGAGCAAACGGG
rnacentral:rRNA from 1 species